UCCGAGUUGACCCCGGCAGUCUCCCAUGAGUCCCCGGCAUAACCCGCUGGCAACACAGGACAAGGGUUGCGCUCGUUGCGGGACUUAACCCAACAUCUCACGACACGAGCUGACGACAACCAUGCACCACCUGUACACCGACCUUGCGGGGCGCCCAUCUCUGGACGUUUCCGGUGUAUGUCAAGCCUUGGUAAGGUUCUUCGCGUUGCAUCGAAUUAAUCCGCAUGCUCCGCCGCUUGUGCGGGCCCCCGUCAAUUCCUUUGAGUUUUAGCCUUGCGGCCGUACUCCCCAGGCGGGGCACUUAAUGCGUUAGCUGCGGCACGGAACCCGUGGAAUGGGUCCCACACCUAGUGCCCAACGUUUACGGCAUGGACUAC
rnacentral:misc_RNA from 1 species